UCAUCUUCGGGGGUAGAGCACUGUUUCGGCUAGGGGGUCAUCCCGACUUACCAACCCGAUGCAAACUACGAAUACCGAAGAAUGUUAUCACGGGAGACACACGGCGGGUGCUAACGUCCGUCGUGAAGAGGGAAACAACCCAGACCGCCAGCUAAGGUCCCAAAGUCAUGGUUAAGUGGGAAACGAUGUGGGAAGGCACAGACAGCCAGGAUGUUGGCUUAGAAGCAGCCAUCAUUUAAAGAAAGCGUAAUAGCUCACUGGUCGAGUCGGCCUGCGCGGAAGAUGUAACGGGGCUAAACCAUGCACCGAAGCUGCGGCAGCGACACUAUGUGUUGUUGGGUAGGGGAGCGUUCUGUAAGCCUGCGAAGGUGUGCUGUGAGGCAUGCUGGAGGUAUCAGAAGUGCGAAUGCUGACAUAAGUAACGAUAAAGCGGGUGAAAAGCCCGCUCGCCGGAAGACCAAGGGUUCCUGUCCAACGUUAAUCGGGGCAGGGUGAGUCGACCCCUAAGGCGAGGCCGAAAGGCGUAGUCGAUGGGAAACAGGUUAAUAUUCCUGUACUUGGUGUUACUGCGAAGGGGGGACGGAGAAGGCUAUGUUAGCCGGGCGACGGUUGUCCCGGUUUAAGCAUGUAGGCUGAUUGUCCAGGCAAAUCCGGAUAAUCAAGGCUGAGGUGUGAUGACGAGGCACUACGGUGCUGAAGUAACAAAUGCCCUGCUUCCAGGAAAAGCCUCUAAGCAUCAGGUAACAUCAAAUCGUACCCCAAACCGACACAGGUGGUCAGGUAGAGAAUACCAAGGCGCUUGAGAGAACUCGGGUGAAGGAACUAGGCAAAAUGGUGCCGUAACUUCGGGAGAAGGCACGCUGGUGUGUAGGUGAAGUCCCUGCGGAUGGAGCUGAGACCAGUCGAAGAUACCAGCUGGCUGCAACUGUUUAUUAAAAACACAGCACUGUGCAAACACGAAAGUGGACGUAUACGGUGUGACGCCUGCCCGGUGCCGGAAGGUUAAUUGAUGGGGUUAUCCGUAAGGAGAAGCUCUUGAUCGAAGCCCCGGUAAACGGCGGCCGUAACUAUAACGGUCCUAAGGUAGCGAAAUUCCUUGUCGGGUAAGUUCCGACCUGCACGAAUGGCGUAAUGAUGGCCAGGCUGUCUCCACCCGAGACUCAGUGAAAUUGAACUCGCUGUGAAGAUGCAGUGUACCCGCGGCAAGACGGAAAGACCCCGUGAACCUUUACUAUAGCUUGACACUGAACAUUGAGCCUUGAUGUGUAGGAUAGGUGGGAGGCUUUGAAGCGUGGACGCCAGUCUGCGUGGAGCCAACCUUGAAAUACCACCCUUUAAUGUUUGAUGUUCUAACGUUGGCCCCUUACCGGGGUUGCGGACAGUGUCUGGUGGGUAGUUUGACUGGGGCGGUCUCCUCCCAAAGCGUAACGGAGGAGCACGAAGGUUAGCUAAUCCUGGUCGGACAUCAGGAGGUUAGUGCAAUGGCAUAAGCUAGCUUGACUGCGAGCGUGACGGCGCGAGCAGGUGCGAAAGCAGGUCAUAGUGAUCCGGUGGUUCUGAAUGGAAGGGCCAUCGCUCAACGGAUAAAAGGUACUCCGGGGAUAACAGGCUGAUACCGCCCAAGAGUUCAUAUCGACGGCGGUGUUUGGCACCUCGAUGUCGGCUCAUCACAUCCUGGGGCUGAAGUAGGUCCCAAGGGUAUGGCUGUUCGCCAUUUAAAGUGGUACGCGAGCUGGGUUUAGAACGUCGUGAGACAGUUCGGUCCCUAUCUGCCGUGGGCGCUGGAGAAUUGAGGGGGGCUGCUCCUAGUACGAGAGGACCGGAGUGGACGCAUCACUGGUGUUCGGGUUGUCAUGCCAAUGGCACUGCCCGGUAGCUAAAUGCGGAAGAGAUAAGUGCUGAAAGCAUCUAAGCACGAAACUUGCCCCGAGAUGAGUUCUCCCUGAGACUUUAAGUCUCCUGAAGGAACGUUAAAGACGAUGACGUUGAUAGGCCGGGUGUGUAAGCGCAGCGAUGCGUUGAGCUAACCGGUACUAAUGAACCGUGAGGCUUAACCUU
rnacentral:rRNA from 2 species